rnacentral:rRNA from 1 species
UACGUAGGGUGCAAGCGUUAAUCGGAAUUACUGGGCGUAAAGCGUGCGCAGGCGGUUUUGUAAGUCUGUCGUGAAAUCCCCGGGCUCAACCUGGGAAUUGCGAUGGAGACUGCAAGGCUAGAAUCUGGCAGAGGGGGGGUAGAAUUCCACGUGUAGCAGUGAAAUGCGUAGAGAUGUGGAGGAACACCGAUGGCGAAGGCAGCCCCCUGGGUCAAGAUUGACGCUCAUGCACGAAAGC